CCUGGUAUAGACCUGAGGUGACAGUGAGGGUCUGGCCCCCAAAUGAGCCAGCACAGGGAGCUGCAGAGGGCACCUGGGCAGCACAGGAUGACACACACACUCACUCACUAACAGCACUGCCUGGAGCUGCUCUCAGCAGCUUUUGUCCUAUUUCACACUGCAUCUUUGAUCCAAAUGUAUUUUACUUUGGCAGAAAGCGGUUUCUACCUCCCCUAGCAUACAUGCAGUAUGUGUUGUAUUGUUCUUUUCUCCAGAUGAUUUAGACAGUGCUUUCCCCGGCUGCUCUCGCUGCUGCUGGUUCACGUAGACACUUCAUCUCCCACACAGUGUCUCUAAAUUAUUUGUAUUUUUUGAGUGUGCCCUGGAAAACUUGUUAAAUCUGUCUUUCAGAUCAGGCAUUCAGUUCCACCCAGAAGCUGAAAAUAUUUGACAACUCAAAGUGUUUUUUUCCUUCUCUCUGGAACUCAAAAAUACAGAACCCUGUGAAAAUGAAUGAGAAGCCCUGCUUAUGUAAAGCUGGUAGAGCUUUGCUGCACAUUCAGAUUGUAUUUGAGGCAAAGCUGAACAUGCAGAUGAGGUUUUAUGAUUCUUCAUCCCUCCUGCUCUUCCUUGUUUCCCUGUAAUGGAUUUUGAUUUAUUUGAUGAUGGGAUCAGACUUCUCUCCUCUGUGUCAUCAGGAACCUUCACAAGUUUUCUGCUAAGGGAAGGGGUAGUAAGAUUUGCAUUAUGUUUUUUUUAUUAUUUUCCUUCCACUGCAACUGAGAUUUGCGAAACCCUGAUUUGCUUGCCUAUUUUCCAUCAUUCGCCUGUUUCCUUACAGCCCGUGUAAGGUGAGUCUCCUUUUGGUAUUGUUGGAUACUCCUUUUGUUUCCUUGGGUGCUGUAAACAGCAACAGCACCUCAGAGCUGAGAGUCAGCACAACAUAGGUAGUAAAUAACUGAUUCAGCUUUUAAAAAGAACUUCACAACUGACGGGUGUCUGCACAAAAUCCCACAUUUCCACACAGUGUUUGUAGCACCCCGGUGUCACAGGCACUAAAUCUGCAGCCACACAGUGUGUUUGGGCACACAGAGGGUGUGCUGUGUGAUCCAGCUAAGGCUCUGGAGUGCUUAGCCAGGCUUAUGUCCAGCAAUUUGCACCAAGACUGUGAGUGCAAAUCUAUCCCUAAUGUCAUUACUCACCUCUGCCUCAGAUCUGCAGAUGCAUCUCUGUGUAUCAGCCUUUUUUCAAAGCUAUCCACUGGGAAGGCCACCACAGGAACAGCCCUUCUUUAGACAUUACCACUUGGAGUUUCCACAUCCUUUCAACGCAUUUUUGCAUUGCAGCAUGUGCCUGUCUAUGUUAGAAAAGUAGCAAUGAUCACUUUGAUCAGCCCUAGUACCAGCACUGCCAGCCCUUUUCCCCUGCACACAGGAGCACAUCCUAUAAAUACGGAGUGACUGCAGCCAGCCAUCUGCAAGGGAACCAACAUUCAGCUGCAAUAAGCAGAUCUAGAGGGCAGCGUGCUCCUUCACCCAGGCGAGCUCCCUCCAGGCUCUGAGGAGCUCCUGCUCUGACUGGUGCCCACAGCUCUGCUCUCCCAGGAUAAACCACGGCUGGGAGAACACACCCACACUGCUCCAGGAAGCCACAGGAAUGCGGGAGAAACGUGAGCUGGGGAUGGUUACUCUGGUGCACCUCAGGAGGGGGAAAAGGCUGAUGGCUUCAUCUUCAGAAAUGGACCAGAGGGACAACGACACCACCGAAUUCUUUUUCCACCACUGAAUGUUUUUUUCCGCACUGCUGACAAUUUAAAAACUGCCUGUGAAGUGCUGUCCUCUUGAAAGAGUGUGCACUUACUGGAAUAAAUCAUACUUUCUCUUCCCCUCUGUCAGCUAUUAAUAGUGGUAAAUUUUAAUUGCAUAUGUAAAUAAAAACACUGUGUACUCAUUAGUUUAAAUAUGUUUUUCAUUAGGCAAAUGAAGCGCUUAUUGUAUAUGAUGUAAAGCCAAAAGGAGAAUGUUAACAGCAUGGAGCAGUUUGGGAAGUAUAGUGACUUGAAUUUUUAAAGUUCUUUCUUUGGAUAAAAAAUAAACCAUGUUUUAAGGGAUUAUUAUGGGCAAAUUUUGCAGGACAGGCAUCUUGUUUCUGGAAAUGGAAAAAACAAAGUUAAAUGACAGAAGUAUGGGUAUGGUGUCAAGGCCAAUGCAUUAAAACAUUACUGAAAGGGAGAGACAGCACAUAAACUUGUAUUGCUAUUUAUAGCAUUGGCUAUUUUAGAGAUGGUAACUGCAAGGCAGGCAGCAUUUUUCAGUUUCUACUUAGAAAAAUCCUGACAUGUCUCACAAUUUGAUAUCUUGAAACAUAUUGGUCCCAAAUUACAUCACUUCUUUGUUGUUAAUUUUCAAACUCCUGGAACGCCACACUCCAAAUAUACUUUUUGCUAUUUUUAGGGGCUAUGCAAUUAUAUUCAAGAUACAAUUUUCCAGUUCAGUAAUCCAUACUUUCAAGCUUGGAGUAUAUUUAUCUACCUACGAGCUCAUAAUUUGUUUCUAUCAACAAAAUACCCAGAAUUUCAUAACUAAUUUACUUCUAAACCUUCUUUUCUAUCUCCUUCCACUGUUCUGCUCCCUGUGAAAUGGGAAAAAUCUUAUCACAGAGACAUUUAGUAAAUUAGUAUCAUUUUAUACAAAAGCCUGCCCUCUAAACACUUCAGUCUUAGUGGAAAAGAUGCUCUGAAGGUAUGACUUUCUAAAGUUAUGGCUCAGAACAGUUUAACAAUCUCCCUUAAUAUCCAAACACGUGUUUCAUGAUUAAUAUGAGAAUAUAAAACCUCUCUCCUUGCAAAACUCAGAGCACCAAGUACGUUUUCUUCCCAACUGCUUGAGUAAGAGAGCCAGGAUAAAAACCAUUUUUAUUUUAUAAAGAUAAGCUUGAAUAUCCUUGUCUCAUCUGUGCUUCCUCAGUUCAAAUUCCAUCAAAGUUUUAUACUGGAGCACAGUAAAAUAUUUAUAUGCAAGACACAGCGAACGAAAUGCAAGGGCUGGCUAGAGGGCAGUCUCUCAGAAUUAACACACAGCAGUCUAAAAAGGACUAAUAUGUCAGUCUCCUAGAUUCUUCAUUUGCCAAACUAAAUUGUAGCUAACAGUACCCACUGCAGAGAGAAUAAAGGCAACAGAUUCCAUUUUGUAUGAAGAGUUAUUGCACUUGACAUGGUUGAAAACAUAUUAACAGAUUUUAAGACCAAAACGGGACUAUAGGAUAUCAAACUGGACUUACUACAUAAGAGAGGCCAGAGCAUUUCACCUGUCAGUGAACAAGUUUAUGAACUGAGGCUGAUUUGGAGCAAAGUUUUGAGGAUGAUAUUCAGCUUGGUCACAGCUGAAAAGCCAAGAACCAAAUAAUCUCUUUUGCAUCUUCUUGCAGAAUAUGUUUAAAAGCUCUCAUAAUUUAAAAAGUAGUGCUCUGUAUUUGAUUUUUUCACUUGUCUUGAUCAGUCUUCUAGUCAUUGCAUCAUAUUUUAUUCUACCCUACCACUGGGCUGUCUGAGGGGAAUGAGGAUAAUAAAGUUAGGGAGAAAAGACAGAGGUUUUAUAAAACAAAACAUUUUGAGUUUUAAGAGAUUUAGGAGUCCUUAAGAGAUUUAAGGAGGCUGUGCUUUCAUAGAUUAUGAUAUCCCAUAAUAUAUAAUAGGUUCUGAUCUCACUUUUGCCCUUGAUGCCCUCAAAAUACUGUUUUUUCUAGUCUGCUAAAAACCAGUAGGCAGGAUAAUGAAUAAGUAAUAUUCAUUGGAUAUUCAUGCUUUCAUACACUAAGAACAAAAAUCCUGCUUCAGUUAGGAUCCAUGCCCCAACAGACCCACAGAUUCAUUUCCAAAGCAUUUGAUUAUAAGAGCCCACCAGGCCCAUUGUUUACAGGCCAAGGUGAAUUAGAAAGCAAUCACACCCUGACCUUCACUGUCCUUACUGUUCAGAACAGAAGUUCUCGUUGAUCUAGAAUGCCUGUAGUUUCUCUCCAAAGUUAUAAGUGUUCACAGAAAGUGGUUAUCUUUUACAAACGAUUGCACUCAUCUCCAGAUGAUUCCUUUGAUUCUCAUCCAACAUCAGAUCCUCUGAAUGAUUUCUCAUGAGAUUCCCCUCCCUCUCACCACUGAAUUUCUCUAGGCAGGAGAAGAUGAACUUCAGAGAUGUAUUUAAUAUUGUACAUAGAUAUUUUCACACAACUCACUGUCACUUUUAACAGCUCCUUCUUCAGGUUCCUCAUGAAGCUUAUGGUAGAGGUGAG